rnacentral:rRNA from 1 species
UACAGAGGGUGCGAGCGUUGUUCGGAAUUAUUGGGCGUAAAGGGCGCGUAGGCGGUGCGGUAAGUCACCUGUGAAAUCUCCUGGCUCAACUGGGAGUCUGCAGGCGAAACUGCCGUGCUGGAGUGUGGGAGAGGUGAGUGGAAUUCCCGGUGUAGCGGUGAAAUGCGUAGAUAUCGGGGAGGAACACCGGUGGCGAAGGCGGCCCCUCUGGACGGAUACUGACGCUGAGGCGCGAAAGCGUGGGGAUCAAACAGG